rnacentral:misc_RNA from 1 species
GACGUAGGGCGCGAGCGUUGUCCGGAUUUAUUGGGCGUAAAGGGCUCGUAGGCGGCUCGUCGCGUCUGCCGUGAAAAGCUCCGGCUUAACCGGGGUCGUGCGGUGGAUACGGGCGGGCUGGAGGUAGCUAGGGGAGACUGGAAUUCUACGUGUAGCGGUGAAAUGCGCAGAUAUGUGGAGGAACACCGGUGGCGAAGGCGGGUCUCUGGGGCUUACCUGACGCUGAGGAGCGAAAGCGUGGGGAGCGAACAGG